UACGGGGGGGGCAAGCGUUGUUCGGAAUUACUGGGCGUAAAGGGCUCGUAGGCGGCCAACUAAGUCGGACGUGAAAUCCCCGGGCUCAACCUGGGAACUGCAUUUGUGACUGCACAGCUGGAGUGCGGCAGAGGGGGAUGGAAUUCCGCGUGUAGCAGUGAAAUGCGUAGAUAUCAGGAGGAACACCGGUGGUGUAGACGGCUCACUGGACCAUAACUGACGCUGAGACACGAAAGCGUGGGUAGCAAACAGG
rnacentral:rRNA from 1 species